rnacentral:rRNA from 1 species
GAUGAACGCUGGCGGCGUGCCUAAUACAUGCAAGUCGAGCGAACAGAUGAGGAGCUUGCUCCUCUGACGUUAGCGGCGGACGGGUGAGUAACACGUGGAUAACCUACCUAUAAGACUGGGAUAACUUCGGGAAACCGGAGCUAAUACCGGAUAAUAUAUUGAACCGCAUGGUUCAAUAGUGAAAGACGGUUUUGCUGUCACUUAUAGAUGGAUCCGCGCCGCAUUAGCUAGUUGGUAAGGUAACGGCAUACCAAGGCAACGAUGCGUAGCCGACCUGAGAGGGUGGUCGGCCACACGGGAACAGAGACACGGUCCAGACUCCUACGGGAGGCAGCAGUAGGGAAUCUUCCGGAAAGGGCGAAAGCCUGACGGAGCAACGCCGCGUGAGUGAUGAAGGUGUUCGGAUCGUAAAACGCUGUUAGUAGGGAAGAACAAAUGUGUAAGUAACUAGGAACGUCUUGACGGUACCUAAUGAGAAAGCCACGGCUAACUACGUG